GGUUAAGCGACUAAGCGUACACGGUGGAUGCCCUGGCAGUCAGAGGCGAUGAAGGGCGUGCUAAUCUGCGAUAAGCGCCGGUAAGGUGAUAUGAACCGUUAUAACCGGCGAUACCCGAAUGGGGAAACCCAGUGUGACUCGUCACACUAUCAUUAACUGAAUCCAUAGGUUAAUGAGGCGAACCGGGGGAACUGAAACAUCUAAGUACCCCGAGGAAAAGAAAUCAACCGAGAUUCCCCCAGUAGCGGCGAGCGAACGGGGAGGAGCCCAGAGCCUGAAUCAGCAUGUGUGUUAGUGGAAGCGUCUGGAAAGGCGCGCGAUACAGGGUGACAGCCCCGUACACAAAAGCGCAUGUGCUGUGAGCUCGAUGAGUAGGGCGGGACACGUGG
rnacentral:rRNA from 1 species